rnacentral:rRNA from 1 species
GUGGGGAAUAUUGGACAAUGGGCGAAAGCCUGAUCCAGCCAUGCCGCGUGUGUGAAGAAGGUCUUCGGAUUGUAAAGCACUUUAAGUUGGGAGGAAGGGCAGUAAGUUAAUACCUUGCUGUUUUGACGUUACCGACAGAAUAAGCACCGGCUAACUUCGUGCCAGCAGCCGCGGUAAUACGAAGGGUGCAAGCGUUAAUCGGAAUUACUGGGCGUAAAGCGCGCGUAGGUGGUUUUGUAAGUUGGAGGUGAAAUCCCCGGGCUCAACCUGGGAACUGCCUCCAAAACUGCAUGACUAGAGUACGGUAGAUGGUAGUGGAAUUUCCUGUGUAGCGGUGAAAUGCGUAGAUAUAGGAAGGAACACCAGUGGCGAAGGCGACUACCUGGACUGAUACUGACACUGAGGUGCGAAAGCGUGGGGAGCAAACAGGAUUAGAAACCCUGGUAGUCC